GACGAACGCUGGCGGCGUGCCUAAUACAUGCAAGUAGAACGCUGAAGGAAGGAGCUUGCUCUUUCUGGAUGAGUUGCGAACGGGUGAGUAACGCGUAGGUAACCUGCCUGGUAGCGGGGGAUAACUAUUGGAAACGAUAGCUAAUACCGCAUAAAAUUGAUUAUUGCAUGAUAGUCAAUUAAAAGGUGCAACUGCACCACUACCAGAUGGACCUGCGUUGUAUUAGCUAGUUGGUGGGGUAACGGCUCACCAAGGCGACGAGACAUAGCCGACCUGAGAGGGUGAUCGGCCACACUGGGACUGAGACACGGCCCAGACUCCUACGGGAGGCAGCAGUAGGGAAUCUUCGGCAAUGGACGGAAGUCUGACCGAGCAACGCCGCGUGAGUGAAGAAGGUUUUCGGAUCGUAAAGCUCUGUUGUAAGAGAAGAACGAGUGUGAGAGUGGAAAGUUCACACUGUGACGGUAUCUUACCAGAAAGGGACGGCUAACUACGUG
rnacentral:rRNA from 1 species